AGAGUUUGAUCCUGGCUCAGGAUGAACGCUGGCGGCGUGCUUAACACAUGCAAGUCGAACGAACCUUCGGGUUAGUGGCGGACGGGUGAGUAACGCGUGAGAAUCUGCCCUCAGGAGGGGGAUAACGGCUGGAAACGGCCGCUAAUACCCCAUAUGCCGAGAGGUGAAACGAGUUUUCGCCUGAGGAUGAGCUCGCGUCUGAUUAGCUAGUUGGUGAGGUAAUGGCUCACCAAGGCAUCGAUCAGUAGCUGGUCUGAGAGGAUGAUCAGCCACACUGGGACUGAGACACGGCCCAGACUCCUUCGGGAGGCAGCAGUGGGGAAUUUUCCGCAAUGGGCGAAAGCCUGACGGAGCAACGCCGCGUGAGGGAUGAAGGCCUCUGGGCUGUAAACCUCUUUUCUCAAGGAAGAAGACCUGACGGUACUUGAGGAAUAAGCCACGGCUAAUUCCGUGCCAGCAGCCGCGGUAAUACGGGAGUGGCAAGCGUUAUCCGGAAUUAUUGGGCGUAAAGCGUCCGCAGGCGGCCUUUUAAGUCUGUUGUCAAAGCGUGGAGCUUAACUCCAUUUCGGCAAUGGAAACUGGGAGGCUUGAGUGUGGUAGGGGCAGAGGGAAUUCCCGGUGUAGCGGUGGAAUGCGUAGAUAUCGGGAAGAACACCAGUGGCGAAGGCGCUCUGCUGGGCCAUAACUGACGCUCAUGGACGAAAGCCAGGGGAGCGAAAGGGAUUAGAUACCCCUGUAGUCCUGGCCGUAAACGAUGAACACUAGGUGUCGGGGGAAUCGACCCCCUCGGUGUCGUAGCCAACGCGUUAAGUGUUCCGCCUGGGGAGUACGCACGCAAGUGUGAAACUCAAAGGAAUUGACGGGGGCCCGCACAAGCGGUGGAGUAUGUGGUUUAAUUCGAUGCAACGCGAAGAACCUUACCAGGGUUUGACAUCCUGCGAAUCCCUUGGAAACUUGGGAGUGCCUUCGGGAGCGCAGAGACAGGUGGUGCAUGGCUGUCGUCAGCUCGUGUCGUGAGAUGUUGGGUUAAGUCCCGCAACGAGCGCAACCCACGUCUUUAGUUGCCAGCAUUGAGUUGGGCACUCUAGAGACCGCCGGUGAUAAACCGGAGGAAGGUGUGGAUGACGUCAAGUCAUCAUGCCCCUUACAUCCUGGGCUACACACGUACUACAAUGCUACGGACAAAGGGCAGCAAACUCGCGAGAGCUAGCAAAUCCCAUAAACCGUGGCUCAGUUCAGAUCGUAGGCUGCAACUCGCCUACGUGAAGGAGGAAUCGCUAGUAAUCGCAGGUCAGCAUACUGCGGUGAAUACGUUCCCGGGCCUUGUACACACCGCCCGUCACACCAUGGAAGUUGGCCACGCCCGAAGCCGUUAC
rnacentral:rRNA from 1 species